rnacentral:lncRNA from 1 species
ACAAUAGCUCGUUAUUUAUUAGCAAGAGCCUCUUGGCUCUUCCUAAACAGCUUAUGCUCAAUAUGUUGAGCGAAAGUGCGAGGAGGAAACAGUGCAGGCUCUUCUUCAGUCACAACUUCAGGUAAUGGCUUAAGGAUAAUUUUUUCCUUCGGUGGCUCACAAAAAACUGCCCAGGAAAUCCUUACCUUCUCCUUAUUAACUAGUCCUCUGUGAAGAAUACUCUUGUAUCUGCGAUUGCUCAGUAUUUCAAUCGUGUCGCCGAUGUGCAUGAUUAUGGAGUUUGGGACGCAUUUUGCAGUGACCCACUUGCCUUCGUAGAAGAGUUGCAGGCCAGGCACCAUAUUGUGGAGGAUGAAAGUGAGAGCACUAACGUCAGUGUGUGCUUCAACUCCUAGAGCAAGUUCUGGCUGUGGGCAUUUAGGGUAAUAGUUAAUCUUCAUUUGAAGAAGAAGCUCUUCAAGCCCACCAACUUCUUUUUCUAGUCUUCCUUCUUCUAGUCCUAAGCCAAGUGAUAGUACUGACAGCAUUUUGGUAGCUAGUGCUCUUAGUUGCCUCGCAUACUCACUGGUCGCCGCUCUGCAUUUUUUUUUUUUUUUACACAUUUAAUACAUGCAUGUUAGUAUAAAGAUUAUGGAGAAUUUAUACAUUGAUUUUCUUAUAUGGAAAUCUAUAAUAUUUCUAAAAUUAAAAUAUAAUUUAAUUAAUUAUGAAAAUUCUAAAAUUAAAAUUUAUAUUUGUAUAUUUUGAGAAAUAAAAUUCUCAAUAAGUCUUACCCUAUUAAUCAAGGCUUUGUUUUUUUUUUUUCACAAAUAAUUUACUUAGAAAUUAUUUUUCGGAUUUUUUCAUGUUUGAAGUAUUCAAGAAAAAUAAUCUACAAAAAUGAUUUUCCUAUUCAAAGGAUUUAAGCUAUUUUAAAAGAAAAUAAUUUCUCAUUCUCAAAAGGAACAAUAAUAUUUUUUAGACAUUAUAAAUUUAUUAUAAUUUUAUAAAUACAUAUUUAUUUAUCCAUUGAUCAAUAGUAGCAACCACUACUGAUCAGCAAUUACUGCGAACUGCCAAACACCAUUAUUGGCUCCUAACAACCAUUAUAAUUUAUAAUUUUUUAAAUUUUUUUAUCAUAUUCAACAAUAAAUUUUUAAAAUACAAAAUUUUUAUAAUACUCAGUUAGCAACACAAAUUGAACAUAUGUGAAGAGUUGUCGUGUUUGAUUCCAACUAAACACAUCUACAUAGAAGGGCGAAAAACCUUAACUGUGAUUAAAUUCCGAGCCGAAUUAAUCAGCCUCAGCUAAUAGGAUCCGGAUACCGAUUGAUUACACUAAAAAACCUCUUUAUAUAUAUUUUUGAUAAGCAGUGAUUAAACGUUUUUUUUUUAAAAACUUUUCUGAUUAGGACUUAUCAGGCACUUGUUAAAUGCAUCUUAAUUAACUAAUUACUGCAACAACUUACAUGUAGUCAGAGGGAGUUUUAGGCCAAAUAGACAAGUCGCGUUUGUCUUCAGGAUAAAUAAGAUGGAAGAAAUAAUCCUCCCACUCUAGCUGCCCACUAGCAUUAUUAGCAAGCUUACUGCCAUAGCCUUGGAUUUUCCCUGAAGCCUGAUCAUUUGCAUAUUUUUCUUUUUCCUCCAUAGGUUGAUCGAAGAAAGCUUCUCCAGCUUUCUUAACGCGUUCAAUAAGUUGGUCAGAAAUUCCAUGGUUAACCAAAUGCAUAACUCCCCAUUCCUUGGCAGCUUUUAUGAACUCUGCUCUGCAUUU